UUCCAGUUGACGAGUCCUAAAUAGGACGAAAUGCGCAUCCUUAA
rnacentral:hammerhead_ribozyme from 1 species